AACUCGAACGGGUUAAAAUGAUGAAAGAAUGGCUUGCGAGUUUGUUCAUAGGAACUGCUUUGGGGAAUUUCAUCACUAGAUAAGUUUGAAAAAUUAUCUCGAACAUCGAGAGAAUCUUGAUAUAAAUCUUUAUUGUCUGAACGACUUACUAAGUCAAGUAGAAUGCUAUCAUCAGGAGUUCCAUGGUUCAUUGAGGAUUCCGAUAAUGCCGAAAAAAAAAGUUCAUUACUUUCGUCAACGAACGAUCCGAGAUUUGUUUCAUUAAUUGAUUUUUCU